rnacentral:rRNA from 1 species
UCCAUUCGGUAGCAAUACUGAUGAAGAGUGAGUGGCGAACGGGUGAGUAGCACGUGAGCAACCUGCCCCGAAGACCGGGACAACACCGGGAAACCGGUGCUAAUACCGGAUAUCCCUAUCGAACCGCAUGAUUCGAUAAGGAAAUGGAUUCCGCUUCGGGAGGGGCUCGCGGCCUAUCAGCUUGUUGGUGGGGUAAUGGCCCACCAAGGCUUCGACGGGUAGCUGGUCUGAGAGGACGAUCAGCCACACUGGGACUGAGACACGGCCCAGACUCCUACGGGAGGCAGCAGUGGGGAAUCUUGCGCAAUGGGCGAAAGCCUGACGCAGCAACGCCGCGUGGAGGACGAAUGCUUUCUGAG